GAUGAAGAACGCAGCGAAAUGCGAUAAGUAAUGCGAAUUGCAGAAUUUCCGUGAGUCAUCGAAUCUUUGAACGCACAUUGCGCCCUUUGGUAUUCCAAAGGGCAUGCCUGUUCGAGCGUCAUUUGUACCCUCAAGCUUUGCUUGGUGUUGGGCGUCUUGUCUCCAGUCCGCUGGAGACUCGCCUUAAAGUCAUUGGCAGCCGGCCUACUGGUUUCGGAGCGCAGCACAAGUCGCACUCUUUUCCAGCCAAGGUCAGUGUCCAACAAGCCUUUUUUCAACUUUUGACCUCGGAUCAGGUAGGGAUACCCGCUGAACUUAAGCAUAUCAAUAAGCGGAGGA
rnacentral:misc_RNA from 1 species